rnacentral:lncRNA from 1 species
GCUCUGGGAGAAGAGGUGGAUGAUGAAGAUGAGGAUAAAGGAUGCAGCCCGGGAGAAAGAAUGGAGGCACUUCAAACAAGGACCGCAAGGGGCGGACCGCAAGGGGCGGACCGCAAGGGGCUGACCGCAAGGGGCUAGUCACCUACAGCUGGCAGCUGUACACGUCUGUUUUUGUUCUGUUUGUGGAUUUGAGUGUUCCUUUGGUUUUGGGGUGGUUUUAUUUGUUUUGAGCGAUAAGUCAGUUCUCACAGCUUUAAGUCUUUUGUAAACUGUUGCAAUGCUAAUGCACACAUACACUACCUAUGUUUGUUGCUAGUGAGUAUGUGCGCAGUAGAAUGUUGCUUAGUUAGCAGCUUUGGUAUAGGACACUGCAUUACAACACCGGGGCAGUGUGUAUGUAUAGUCUAUGUAGCAGCAUGUACAGGCUUUGUUAAAUGUUUUCUUAACAUUGUAAUGAACACACUAGAAUGUUUACUUUCCAACCACUGAAACAAAUAUACCCAUUCCAUUUCCUAUCCUGAGCCCACGUGUUGUUCCCUGCACUGGCCACACAGUAGCUUUUUAUCUUGAUUCUGAUCUAGAUAUUCUAGCUCUGUGUUUUUGUUCUCAUACACUGUUAACUUCACAGACGGCGAUCUGUUUACAUUCCGUUAGGUCUUUGAAUGGACAGGGACAUUCCGUUAGGUCUUUCAAUGGACAGGGACAUUCCGUUAGGUCUUUCAAUGGACAGGGACAUUCCGUUAGGUCUUUCAAUGGACAGGGAC